CUUCCCUUUGCAAUAAGCUGCCCCACCCAGGCCUUUCCAUGAUCCAGACUCCUGGGACCAGGGUGCAAAUCCCCAGCUCCCCACUUGUCAACCAUGUGACCUGGACAACUUUCUCAAACCCAAGCUUUGUCCACCCAAGGUCAGCAGAGAUGGGGGAUAACAGGAUGUCCCGCACAGAGUGUCUGUGCAGAUUAAGUGAGGUAGAACAGACAGAACAGUGGUGGGGCCUGGCCCAUUGGUUGGCAGAAGGGAGCUCACCAUGUGCAGCAAGUUCCACGGGUCACCCAGCAAUCUGCCCAGAGGCUUAGCCACUCCAUCGCUAUCAUGCAUCUGAAGUCCACUUAACCACAAGGGAGAGAAACAAACACAUAUUCUGAGUGUAGCUGCCACAGGGAAAAUUGCAUCUGAGCGGGGAGUAAUACCAGAGGGUGAUCAGGAUGGCAGAAGAUGCCCCCUGGGUUUGAGCAGACUGGAGCUGCCCUCCAGAGCCUGGGGUUAGUGAGGAUGGGCUUGUAGAAAUGCCCCUCUCCUUUACCCAUCAAUGCUGGGUCCUGCGGGUACUGAGUCCCACAAUCGGUGUGCUGCUAGUGCCCUCAGCACAGAGAAAAACCCAGGGGUUCCCACAAGGCUUCGGCCACGUCCUCUGCUUCCUGAACUCCCACUCUGGUGACCCCACCUGGGAUGCAGAGAUGAGGUGAGGCAGGGACCUGUGCUGUCAACAUCACUGCUCUACCCUGGGAAUCUGGCACACAGUAGGUGCUUGGCAGAGCCAUGUGAAGAUGACACCAGUGGCAGAGCCCAGAGGUGGGGAAGGAUGACUUCUGUUGAUGUCACUGAACACCAGGUACAGACCUGCCUGAAGCUAUCUCCCUGUGGACGUCUCAGUUAGGUAAGUCAUUCUCUCCUGCCCUGUUUGCUUCUUUAAGCCACUUUGGUUUUCUGUCACUGGUUU